UACGUAGGGUGCGAGCGUUAAUCGGAAUUACUGGGCGUAAAGCGUGCGCAGGCGGUUUUGUAAGCCAGAUGUGAAAUCCCCGGGCUUAACCUGGGAAUGGCAUUUGGGACUGCAAGGCUUGAGUGCGGCAGAGGAGACUGGAAUUCCUGGUGUAGCAGUGAAAUGCGUAGAUAUUCGGAAGAACACCAGAGGCGAAGGCAGCGAAUUGGCCCUAUAUUGACGCUCAGGCACGAAAGCAUGGGGAUCAAACAGG
rnacentral:rRNA from 1 species